AUGUCUUAUCUCCAUUUAAACAAAAUUCAUAACAAUUUCAUUAAAACUCUAUAAUCAAAAAACAAUUUUUUUUUUGGUUAGUUUAUUAUGUAUGAGUUGGAAAAAUAAUUUUUGUAAGCUUGUUUAGUUUCAAACUCAAAAAUUAAUAAUAUUAUUCAUAUCCACACUCAUCAUCAAGCUGCCAAUUUCGGCAUUGUAAAUCCCCCAAAAUCAAAAUGCUACCGGUGUGGAAUAGUGGGACAUAUAGCCCGGGAGUGUAAAAAUCCAAAACGAUGCUACACAUGUUUGAGAGAGGGGCAUUUGGCCGGCUCAUGUCCAUUUUAAUUUUCUUUACAUUUUAACAUAUUUUUUAUUUUAUAUCAUUUUAUAUUUUGUUUUUUAAAUUUUCAUUUAUUUAAUCUUAUGUUUUACAUAAUCACUGUAUCACUUUAUUGAUACAUCAUAUUCAUUUGGUUAAAAUGACAUUAUUCUUUUCAACAAAUAUAAUUAAAUAAAUAACUUAGAAUUAUCUUUAACAAACACAUAAUGUUUAAUUAUAUUACAUUACACACGU